rnacentral:lncRNA from 1 species
AGGUAGUAGAGAUAGAAGGAAUGGGAAGGAGCUUGACGGAGAAGGAACAGGGUUCAUGGUAGACUACCAGCCCCUACGGAACUAUGAUCGCACGAGAGGCCUAGAAACAGAGCAAUCUACUAUCAGCUAUUGCAACGGGAUGGUGCUGCCUACGUUGCUCUCAUCUCAAGAAAGGCGAAGGAAGAUGCGGCACGGACACAGAGGAUAGAGAGCGUAAUCAAAGGCACAGUGGUCCAAAAAGCAGCAGCAACAUCGAUGGUCUUGAGUGUCUGUCUGACCAAUAUGCGUUUCGCAACGACAUGCCUAAGACCCUGAAGAAUUUCAAUGGAGGUAUUUUCUUUUUUUUCUUCGUCGCUCGCAUUUCCCGGUGGGGUUUAGCUAGCUAGCUGCUCAUGGAGCAAUUUGAUGGGAAAGAUGGCGCAUCUUUUUACCACACGAAAG